AUCGCCUUAGAAUAACCAGAAGGUGAAACACGACACCAUUCUGGUUCAGACAAAGGCGCAUAUUAACACGAAUUAGUUUGAGGGUAGGGAACGCUUCUUCUCCUGUUCCAUACCUAGAUGGCUUCGGAUAUUA